GGGGCGUGUUUGUCAGCAAGCGCUCUGCANNNGUUAGAGCGCACCCCUGAUAAGGGUGAGGUCGCUAGUUCGAGUCUAGCUAGCCCCA
rnacentral:tRNA from 1 species